UACGUAGGGUGCAAGCGUUAAUCGGAAUUACUGGGCGUAAAGCGUGCGCAGGCGGUUUUGUAAGUCUGACGUGAAAGCCCCGGGCUUAACCUGGGAAUUGCGUUGGAGACUGCAAGGCUUGAAUCUGGCAGAGGGGGGUAGAAUUCCACGUGUAGCAGUGAAAUGCGUAGAGAUGUGGAGGAAUACCGAUGGCGAAGGCAGCCCCCUGGGCUAACACUGACGCUCAUGCACGAAAGCGUGGGGAGCAAACAGG
rnacentral:rRNA from 1 species